UUGAGUGAAACAGCUAUAAAAGAGUUUCCUUCAUCAAUUGAAGGCUUGACGACCCUUAAUUCAUUGACUCUCAAAGAUUGUAAGAAUCUUGUGUGCCUUCCUAGCACCAUUUGUAGCUUGAGUUCGCUUCAACGUCUUAAUCUUUGUGGGUGCUCGAAUUUUGACAACUUGCCGGAGAACCUAGGGAAUCUCAACCGUCUCUGUGAUCUUGAUUUGAGUGGAACAGCUAUAAAAGAGUUUCCUUCAUCAAUUGAAGGCUUGACGACCCUUAAUUCAUUGACUCUCAAAGAUUGUAAGAAUCUUGUGUGCCUUCCUAACACCACUUGUGGUUUUAAGUUCCAUGGUGCUCUUGAUCUUUAAAUGUGCUCAAGAUUCAAAAACUUGCCAAAGAACUCAUGGAUAAUCGAAGGUCUAUGGAUGCUUGAUUUGAGUAAAACAGCUAUAGAAGAGAUGCCUUCAUCAAUUGGAUGUUUGAUUAACCUUGCUGCAUUGACUCUAAGAUAUUGCAUAAAUUUUGUGCACCUUCCUAGCACCAUUUGUAGUUUGAAGUUGCUUAAGUCUCUUGAUCUUUUUGGAUGCUUAAAAUUUGACAACUUGCCUGAGAACAUAGGAAAUAUGGAAGGUUUGGAGCUGCUUAAUUUGUGUUGGACAGCCAUAAAAGAGGUUCCUUCUUCCAUUGUUCUCCUUAAAAAACUCAAGCAGCUUCAUAUCCAUGGAUGGAAGUUAUCUGAAUUUUAUUCCCAGCCAGCAAGUCCUGAGUCGAUGGAACCAUUAUGGAUUUCAUUAUCUUACUUGCCAACAAAUCCUACGAUGGAAAAAAUAUUAUUGCCUUCAUUUAUAUAUUCUUCCCUGCAAACAAGUCCAGUUCCGGUGGGCUUAUCAUUGCCUUCCUUAUCAGGUCUGCAAUCUUUAACCAAUUUGAAUCUUAGUCAUUGUGAUCUUUGGUCAAUCCCCAAUGACAUUGGCUGCUUGUCCUCUUUAGAAUACUUAGAUCUAAGUGGAAAUAAUUUUUUUUCCCUUCCUGAAAGCAUGUUUCAACUCUCUAAUCUUCGAAAACUCUAUUUGGAGGGUUGCACGAGUCUUCAAUCAUUGGAAAAUGUUCCGUCAACUAUUGAUUCUGUAAUUGCAGAUGAUUGUACCUCACUAGAGAGAUUGCCAGAACUGCAAUUUUAUCUUUUUAGGUCAGAUCGCACCUAUUUGCAAUUCCUGUUUUUCAACUGCUUCAAAUUGGUUGACAAUAACAUGCUUCGGGGCGCUAAUAACAUGCUUCAGGGACAAAGUGGUACACUACCAAAGAAGUUGAAAAUUAUUAUUCCAGGAAGUGAAAUUCCGAAAUAUUUUAACCAUGAAUGUAUGGGUCAUGAAUUGAAAGUACAAGUACCUUCUAAUUGGUCUAAUGCGCCGAUUGGAAUUGCAUUUUGUGUUGUCUUUGUACCCAACAAAUGGCGUGAAUGCCCUCGUGAUUGGGAACUUUCAUUUAUAAUCGAUGGAUUUCCAAUGAAUGAGGGAGAAAUUUCUGGUUCUAGGAAAGAAUAUGGUACAAUUGAAUCACAUCACCUUUGGCUGACCUAUUCUUCUUAUCGGAACGGAUUUCAUCCUCUUAUGAUUACAGCAUCUUCCCGGAACUUGGAGGUGGAGAAAAUUGGGGUCCGAUUCAUAUACGGGCAAGACAUCGAAAAUCCCAGUAAAACUAUGGCACAGUGCAUCAACAACAGCAGCUUCGUAAUCCAUCAUGAUAUUGAUGAUCCAAUUGCAGAAGGUAGUGCAAAUAAGCAAAGCCAUGAUGAGGAUGAUGAUGGGGCAGGACCUAGUGGAGAAUGCUGCUCUAUUGUGGAACCACCGCCAAAGAGGAUUCAAAGGCUUGGAGGAUUUAUGGCUGAUUCUGAGGAUUCUAGUCAAAGGGAAUUUAUUGACUACUUUGCUAUGGAAGGAGAGAAUCAAACGUCCAAGAAGCUUGAAUCCAUUCACGAAGGUAGUAGUUACCAAGACAUCGAAGAUCUCAAUCUAACUAUGGCACAGAGCAGCAACAACAGCUGCACCCUCUGUGAGGGUCUGGUGAAAUCUAUCGUGAUAUUGAACAAUUUAGCCGCAGAAGGUAGCAAAAAUAAGCAAAACUGUCAUGAGGAUGAUGGGGCUGGACCUAGUGGAGAAGGCCACUCUAAUGAGGAACCACAACCAAAUUGGAUUUAUGAAGUUGGAGAAUUUAUGGCUGAUUCUGAGGAGUCUAGUCAAAGGGAAAUUUUCGACUUCUUUUCCAUGGAAGGAGAGUAUCAAAUGUCAAAGACGCUUGAAUCCAUUCACGGAGGGAAGAGGGAUAGUUACCAAGACAUUGAAGAUCCCAAUCAAACUAUGACUCAGUUAACCAUCAACAGCAGGACACUCUGAGGAUCUGGGUGAUCUACGCCAUGAUCUUUAAGAUUCAACCACAGAAGGUAGCAGAAAUAAGCCAAGCUGUGAUGAGGAUGAUGGGGUUGGACCAAGUGGAGAAGGCUAUUCUAUUGAUGAACCCCAUCCAAAGACUACCUGGAUGCAUGGCUGAUUCUAAAGAAUUUGGUAUAAGGAAUGUUUCAACUUCUUUGCCUGUUUGAAUAAUACAAAUUUCUCUUCUUGGCUUGUUGGGGCACUUUUAUAUAAUGGAAGGAGACCCAAGAAACUCGAAGCCUAUCGCGGUGGUAAGAGGGAUAGUUAUGAGAGAGAUGUUGAAGAAUUAGCCAAGGAGGGUCAUUCCUCUCACACCCACCUUGGCACCGUCUCAAGUGGGCAAGAAUUAAUCAAGGAGGGUUACUUUUUGCUGUAUGUGUGUGUAUAUGUGUGUGGCUUUGUUUAUUUGGUUUUAUAGAGUUUAAGCCGUGGCAUCAGUGUAGAGAAAUUAAAGAUGAUCUUGUCCCAUGCUUUUGUGCUAUUUUGUAAUCUCCCAUUUUCUUAGUGAAAUAUUCUGUUAGACACUGUCCGUGGAUGUAGGCUUAAAGCCGAACCACGUAAAUCUUUGUGUUUCAUGUGUGAUUGUGUUUUCUA